CCUACGGGGGGCAGCAGUGAGGAAUAUUGGUCAAUGGACGAGAGUCUGAACCAGCCAAGUAGCGUGAAGGAUGACUGCCCUAUGGGUUGUAAACUUCUUUUAUAUGGGAAUAAAAUGUUACACGUGUGGGAUUUUGUAUGUACCAUAUGAAUAAGGAUCGGCUAACUCCGUGCCAGCAGCCGCGGUAAUACGGAGGAUCCGAGCGUUAUCCGGAUUUAUUGGGUUUAAAGGGAGCGUAGGUGGAUUGUUAAGUCAGUUGUGAAAGUUUGCGGCUCAACCGUAAAAUUGCAGUUGAAACUGGCAGUCUUGAGUACAGUAGAGGUGGGCGGAAUUCGUGGUGUAGCGGUGAAAUGCUUAGAUAUCACGAAGAACUCCGAUUGCGAAGGCAGUUCACUGGACUGCAACUGACGCUGAGGCUCGAAAGUGUGGGUAUCAAACAGGAUUAGAUACCCUAGUAGUC
rnacentral:rRNA from 1 species